rnacentral:rRNA from 1 species
GACGAACGCUGGCGGCGUGCUUAACACAUGCAAGUCGAACGGAAAGGCCCCCAUCUUGGUGGGGGUGCUCGAGUGGCGAACGGGUGAGUAACACGUGGGUGAUCUGCCCUGUACUUCGGGAUAAGCUUGGGAAACUGGGUCUAAUACCGGAUAGGACCAUGGUUUAGUGUCUCAUGGUGGAAAGAUUAUUGUUUUGGUGCAGGAUGAGCUCGCGGCCUCUCAGCUUGUUGGUGGGGUAAUGGCCUACCAAGGCGUCGACGGGUAGCCGGCCUGCGAGGGUGGACGGCGACAUUGGGACUGAGAUACGGCCCAGACUCCGACGGGAGGCAGCAGUGGGGAAGAUUGCACAAUGGGCGCAAGCCUGAUGCAGCGACGCAGCGUGGGUGAUGACGGCCUUCGGGUUGUAAGCUCCUUUCGUUAGAGACGAAGCCACGCUUGUUGGGUGUGGUGACGGUACCUUUGUUAAGAAGCACCGGCUAACUACGUG